UAGGUAAGGCAGAUGACCGCGCUGGUGCAAACCGGUGAGGAAAGUCCGAGCCCCCUUUGUAUCGCAAGGUACAUCGUCGUGAGAGCAGUUAACGGCUGCCAGGUAUACUCAGAACGAACGGACACGUGCCGAACGUUCUGAUAAGCCUAGGGAAAGUGCCACAGAGACAAUACUAAUCGGGCGUAAGCUCGGUGAAAGGUGAAAAGUACUUCGAGGUCACUAUCUCCUUCGGGAGCAAUGGUUCGGCCACGUCGUUCCUCCGUUGGUAACAGCGGAGUGUGGUAAACCCUCUCUGGUGCAAGAGCAAGUCCGCGAGAAGGCAGUUGCUAUGAAGUAAUUCAGCGCAACAGUUUUUUCAAGGAAUGGUCGCUCGCUAGAGCGUCGCAGCGAUGCGACGUCGAGAGAGAUGGUCAUCAAUUCUGGCUUCGGUCAGGAAAACAAAACUCGGCUUAUAGCCUUGCCUACCCA
rnacentral:RNase_P_RNA from 1 species